GUCGGACAGCUAUCAGACCCAAGGACAAGCAAAUAAAAGUGGCCUGUACACUUUAUCAAGUGCUCCCUUUCUGCAAUCACAAACAACAUCACAUCAGAGCCCGGGACACACAGAAUGAGCUUCACCACUAACUGAAACUGGAUCACUGGGAGAGACGACGCGUGUGUGUGUGUUAGUGUUUUAUAAAGUGUCUUUUUCAGUGCUCUCACUAUUCUUACAGCACGAAGGGUCAUGUGGAUCAGCCAUCUUUACUGAACAGAGUCUGUGAUUCCUGAUCGAAGGCAUAACGGAUCAUUCAGAAGAGACCAUCUGCACGGUUCCCGCCACUAUCCACUCAACUGACAGACGUGUAAACGCAACGAUAAUCGCUAACAUUCACACAUGACCAGAGCGAGAGCCAGCUGCUGAACGAAAGACAAGAGAGGGACAAAGUUUAGAUAAAGGUCCAGCUAUCACAGCAGGUUGCCCUCGGUCUGAGUAUAGACCCAGUGCUGGAAGGCGCAGCAUUUCUGUCCCGCCUCGGAGUCUCUGCGCAUCAGGUUGAUCUCCUUCCCGUCCUUCACGGAGUACUUCACAAAAUCUCCCAGCAGCUCCUCCUCCAGCGUAGCGUAAGGGAUGUUGUUAGACGGCCGGUGCACCAAAUAAAUCGGGAUGAUUCUGGGAAUUUAAGGACAAUUUAAUGAAUAAAUAAAAAUUGUUUUUUUGAAUAAAGUGUGUCCUAGAGCCACUA